ACUCGCGGGCAGCCUUGUGGACACCCGGUGGCUGGGGGGGGGGGGACGGGAGGUCUGGCCUUGGAGCUCCGGGCUGGGAUGUGGGCUCUCAGUUCCCGCGACGACUCCCUCCCACACGGGGCUGGGUGCUCGAGGAGGGCGCGGGAGAGGGCCGUUUGGGCAAGGGUUUGGGGCCGGGUUAGGGCCGAGGUCGGGGUCGGGGCAGGCCCGGGUCAGGAGGGGCAGGGUGGCCCCGCAAAGCGCGGGGACACAGACCUUGAGCUGGGGAGGCCAGGUGAGGGCCCUGCAGGCACAGCCCUGGUGAGACAGAGGCGGGGGCUGCGGGGCCCCAUCGCGUGCGGACGGGCUGUUCCCGAUGGAGAGCGAGCUGGAGAUGAUGGCAGGUGGCCCGGGGCCAGCGGGGCCCGUGGUUUGGGCUCUGACGUAAGCACGUCUGGGAGUGUCCUGGGGUCUGCUCGGGGGGCCCUCGGGUGCUGCGGCCCCGUGUGCCGCAGCCGGGAGCACUAACUCCAGACCCGGAGGCUCAGGGGCUGGCCAACGUGGUAGCUAUCAGUGAUGGGGCCUUUUCCCAGAUGGAUGCUAGGGGUGAGGAAAUCCCGGUUAAGUGCCACCUGUCGUGGGUAGGGGCUGACCUGGCAUCCUGGGGCAACGGGAUCACGCUGGAGGCUGGUGGCUUCCCGUCUUCAAGCCGGGAGGGAAGCGUCAGAAGUAUGGGGGCAGAAGACGGUUGGCUUCUUUUGGGGGGGAUGUAUUAACGGGAACAUAGGCCGUUUGGCAGAGGAGGGGAUAUUACCUCGAGUCGUUAUCCAGGAGCCCAAAAGGCAAAAGGGGCCGCAGACCUGGCUCCUUGAAGAGCACGUGGCUGUGAACACUCGGUGGUGUUAGGUUGGCGGCAGACUCUUUGGCACGUCUUCUGGCUGUUCUUUAUUGUGAGAAGGUGCAGACGUUUUUGCGUGACCUCCGAGGGCAGCACUCAGCUUGUCCAGUGGGCAGGCCGGCCUGGUCUGAUUGUCCCGAGCUCCCCUGGGGUGGAACCGCAGGGUGUACGGGGCAGUAGUGAGCUUCCCGUCCCUGGAGGCAUGCAAACCUCCCGGUGGUCUUUAAAUAUCCACUGGUGUUGGUCCAGUUGACCGGGGAGUCCCUUCUUUUUAGUUUCGGGACUUGCGUGACUGGUCCGAGUUCUGGUCACUAAAACGGCCACCCCCUCACAGUUCCCAGUAACUGACGGAGCAGCCUAGAAAAUCUUUUGUGGCCGGUGAGGUCCUUGGCGCGUUUGGGCUUAGGAGCACCUGCCGAGGAGGCCUCACCGGCGCUGUCGGGGGGUCCCUCCCGGCCUGGGGCUGGCCGGGGCCGUGUCUGCUGAGGCUGUGCUUUCGUGUGGCCUUGUGGGUGUGUGCCUCUUGACACAACACCAUUGAUUUUCCACUUGGGCCACGCCAGUCCCUUCUGUGCUUCCCGGGACCUGCUUCUCCCUGGGUCCGCUGCUAGAGGGAGGGUGGGUGAGGGCACGGGGGGCCUCUAGGGCCAUCCUUGCUGGUUUAGGGUGCGGCAGUGGGGUGUUUCCUUCUGAGUAGGGCUGCUGGGAGUAUUUGUUCCUUUAUUCACUCAGCACGCAUUUAUCAAACACCUACUACGUGCCAGGCCCUCUUCUAGGACCUGGGGCUUCAGCUGCGAGCGAAGAAUGAAGAGCCAUGCUUUUCGUCAGGCUUUGUCUAGUAGUGAGAAAGUGAGUUAAAUAAGUGAGAAAAUAUUCCGCUAGUAAAAAGUACCGUGGGGGGCCCCUGGGUGGCUCAGUCGGCGGAGCAUCCGGCUUGAGCUCAGGUCGCGAUCUCACGGUUCUUGAGUUCGCGGCCCGCAUCGGGCUCUCUGCUGUCGGCGUGGAGCCUGGAGCCUGCUUCGGAUCCCCUGUCCCCCUGUCCCUCUGCCUCUCCCCCGCUUGCCCUCUCAAAGAUACUUAAAAAAUUGUAGAAAGAAAGUACUGUGCUCACACAGCUGUCUUAAGCUCUUUGUACGUCGCUCACCCAGCUGUGUUUUUCCUUUUGACGUACCAAUUUUUAUAGUAAUAUCGUACUGAAAUCUUACAUAAGGUCUUCACUAAAAAUGAGUAAUUUUUUUUUAAUGUUUAUUUCUGAGACAGAGAGAGAGAGAGAGACAGAGCAUGAGUGGGGGAGGGGCAGAGAGAGAGGGAGACACAGAAUCUGAAGCAGACUCCAGGCUCCGAGCUGUCAGCACAGAGCCUGACGCGGGGCUCGAACUCGCAGACCGCGAGAUCAUGACCUGAGCCAAAGCCGGACGCUCAACUGACUGAGCCACCCAGGCGCCCCAAAAAAAUGAGUAAUGUUUUAAGCUGAAUGUGAUUUCCAUUUAUGAAAAUAACCAUAAAGUCCAAACAGGACAGGAGAAAGGUACAAAUAAUAUUAGCGGAUAAGGUGCUGCCACGUCUCUAAGGAUAAAGCGAUAGACUUACGGAAACAAAAAAAAAAUGGGACUAUUUCUGGCCCCUCCCCGUCUUCAUCAGAGAAUGGCUCCGGUCUGUUGGGGUACAUUCCGGCUAAGUAGGUGACUGCCUAGUCAGAUUUGUUCCAAAUCCAAAUCACAGAUGGACACAUCUAAGUUUAAAACGUAGAGAUGAGUAAAUUUAAGAUUUCUUACGUAAGUGGUGAAUUUUGUGUUAGAAAAACAUACCCGUAAGCAAAUUAUUCGAACCGAUUCGUCCUUAGAAUUUUGACGUCGUUCCUAGUUUUCCACGAAGAUCAAAAUGAGGUGUAUUUUUAAUUUCAGUACGAUCGUCGGUGAAUUAGUGCAGUCACUUACUUUAAAGAAUGCGACGAAGAUGGAAAAGGGGACGGGAGAGAAACGUGGGGGUGGCUUUAGCCAGGGGAUCCGGGCCUGACAGCAGAGGGGACACUGUGGGGUUGAGCAGCAGUGAGCCGUGUGGGCCUCCCUGGCAAGUGGAACAGGUAGUGCAAAGGCCCUGGGGCAGGACUGAGCUGGUGAGGUCCCAGGGAAGGCCAGCAUGGCUGUGAGGGCUGGGUGAGGAGAGAAGGUGCCAGCCAGCUCACCCAGGGCUGAUGAGUUUGGGUCGUAUUAUUUGUGUGUGAAGGGAGGCCAGCGAUGACAUUUAUGCUGGGAAGUGAGGUGCCGAGUUUUUGCCUUCAAGGCUCACUCUCGUGGCUGCCGAGAGAAAGGACCAGGGGUGGGGGGACCUUGGUGGAGGUGGCCGUAGCCACGCGGGCAGGCAGCGGUGGGUCUGGGUGCUGCGGCGGCCGCCAGCGGUGCCGUGUGGAGGGCCAGGGGCAGGGAGGUCCCGUGGCGGCAAAGAUCGGGGGCCCGGGCCACUGUGGGGACCAUGAAACCGCUUCCUGAGAUGGGGGUCGGUGGCCAGGGGCCGAUGAGCAUCUGGCCCUUGUGGCCAGCCGCUGACGCUCAGUGCCUCAGUUUCCCCAUCUGCGAGGUGGGGAUGAGAGUGGCUUCUACCUGCGAGGGUUGCCGAGGAUCCGGUGAGUUGCUGUCCCGGGAGGUGCCGAGCUCAGCAUCAGGCACGUGGGGAGUGUUCUGUGGUCUUUGUUUCUCUUCCUGCUUCAUUCGUCUGCUGCUGUCGCCCGUUCAUCCAACAGAUACUCUGAGUGCUCGCUGUGUUCUGGGCCUGCCGUUCUGCGAUCUGGUGACAGCUUGAUAAGGACAAGCAGAGACACCCCCCCCCCGCCCCCGUUCCGGCUGCUGUCAGUGGGCCAGGUGGGGGGUCAGCCCCUCCCCAAGGACCUUGCCCUGUCACUUUAAUUUCCCUGCGUGCUGGGGCUGCACAGUUAAAGUUAAUUUCACGCUUGACUUCCUGCUGUACCAGCAAUCUCAGACGUGUCCCAGUCACCUGCACCCACCUCCGCUGCUCUCCCUCCGCCACCUGCACCAUCGGGCGGUGUGGGGGCGGCUGCCCACGCUCCGUGGGGCACUUGCCGCGGGAUCUCAGCCCCAGGUCUCAGGCUCUGGGAAGCAGGGGAGGGGCCAGGGCGACCCCAGAGCGGACCUGACGAGCACUCCGUGGAGGGGCCGGUGUCCCCUCCACAGCACCUGCCGGGACGGCUCUCCGGGGAGCCCCCCGGCUUCCUGAAGCCCCAGUGCGAUUCUGUGAACGGGCGGGCACUGAUGCCCGGGGACGGUCACUGCUCUCGUGUGUUGUGUCGUGGCCGUGCCUUUCCCGGCCCUGCCCUUGCCUGGCUCAGAACCCGGGCACUGGCCUUGUUCCUCGUCUCUCCCCGGGGCCUGGAGGCCUGCUGGUUCCUGGUGUUCUCUCCCUUCCCCCCUUUUCUUGUCUUCAGGUCCGAUGUCUUCCCUCCUACUGCCUCACUCGAGGGUUGGCUGAUUGGAGCCAUCAGCCCCGGGGCUGUGCAGGUGGAAAGGGCAUUGGGACGCAGGUUACUGUCAUAGGUUUUUGUGGACUUGCUCUGGAAGUUCAGAGAGGUUAAGUAACUUCGCCAGGGCCACACAGCCAAACUUCUAGGCCAAACGGAUGUGCACACCCACACCGAUACCUCUCCUGGGUCUCCAGUCUGAGCUCUGCCCCUCGAUAGCCUGGUGACCUUGAGCACAUCACAUCACGUCACUUUGCUUGUCAAAUCCUGUGGGCCCAGGGCCAGUCCCACCCAGGGCCUGGCCGGACGCUCCUUGAACCUCCAGAGUGUCCCUACUGUUAUCGUUUCCUCCCAGUUUUUGUCUCUCCUGCCCAGUGCAGUGACAGACGACGAGGCCGAUGUUUCCUUACAGGUUGUGCUUUUUUAUAAACUCGGACUUUCCCCGGAGAUGAUAGCUAUCCUUUGCACCCCAUGAAUGCAAACUCUCCCCCCCCGCCCCCAGCAAA